CAUUAACCGUAUCUGCAAUUUUUGAUUCAUUGAGUAUGGAUAAUCCUCAAUUUCGGGCAUUUGUCUCUGUUGAUGGAUUGGCUGAGAUGUUCGUUUUUGAGUGUUUGAGCAGAAGAUCUCCGUAGGAACGAUUCACAAUCAAUUUAGCCUCCUUUGGAUGUUGAGGAAAUUAAAGAUCUCCGUCGGAACGAUUCACAACCAAUUUAGCUUCCUUUGGAUGUUGAGGAAAUUAUCUAAUUUUACUCGUGGCCUUGGCAAAAUUAUUGUUAAAUAUAUUGGUGCCCAUAGUUUUGAGAUAUGGGGUACCUUGAACUUGUGUCUUGAGUGUUUGAGCAGAAGAUCUCCGUAGGAACGAUUCACAACCAAUUUAGCUUCCUUUGGAUGUUGAGGAAAUUAAAGAUCUCCGUCGGAACGAUUCACAACCAAUUUAGCUUCCUUUGGAUGUUGAGGAAAUUAUCUAAUUUUACUCGUGGCCUUGGCAAAAUUAUUGUUAAAUAUAUUGGUGCCCACAGUUUUGAGAUAUGGGGUACCUUGAACUUGUGUCCGAGUGGUUUAGUUAAGAAUGGAGGCCGGCGUUGGAAAGUGUUUCAACUUUCAAUUGUAUACGAUGGUUAAUUUCGUGAACACCUGCCUAGAUGGGAAGAAGUUGGGCUGGUACUGAAUGUGAUCAGAACAGCUGGGAGGCUGUUUUAGCACAACUUUAGCUGGCUUGUAGGUCUUUAGAUCUGCUCUGCUUAUUAUGUGCGAUUUUAGUACAUACGAUCAG
rnacentral:lncRNA from 1 species